AGCAGCCGCGGUAAUUCCAGCUCCAAUAGCGUAUAUUAAAGUUGUUGCAGUUAAAAGCUCGUAGUUGAAUUUCGGGGUUAGUAGGUUGGUCAUGCCUCUGGUAUGUACUGGUCUCACUGAUUCCUCCUUCCUGAUGAACCUUAAUGCCAUUAAUUUGGUGUUUUGGGGAAUUUGGACUGUUACUUUGAAAAAUUAGAGUGUUUAAAGCAAGCUAACGCUUGAAUACAUUAGCAUGGAAUAAUGAAAUAGGACGUUCGAUCCUAUUUUGUUGGUUUCUAGGAUUGACGUAAUGAUUAAUAGGGAUAGUUGGGGGCAUUAGUAUUCAAUUGUCAGAGGUGAAAUUCUUGGAUUUAUUGAAGACUAACUACUGCGAAAGCAUUUGCCAAGGAUGUUUUCAUUAAUCAAGAACGAAAGUUAGGGAUCGAAGACGAUCAGAUACCGUCGUAGUCUUAACCAUAAACUAUGCCGACUAGGGAUCGGAUGAUGUUAAUUUUUAAUGUACUCAUUCGGCGCCUUACGG
rnacentral:misc_RNA from 1 species